GACGAACGCUGGCGGCGUGCUUAACACAUGCAAGUCGAACGGAAAGUCCCUGCUUUUGUGGGGUGCUCGAGUGGCGAACGGGUGAGUAACACGUGAGUAACCUGCCCUUGACUUUGGGAUAACUUCAGGAAACUUGGGCUAAUACCGGAUAGGAGCUCCUGCUGCAUGGUGGGGGUUGGAAAGUUUCGGUGGUUGGGGAUGGAAUCGCGGCGUAUCAGCUUGGUUGUGGGGUAGUGGCAUACCAAGGCUUGGACGGGUAGCCUGCCUGAGAGGGUGACCGGACCAAUUGGGACUGAGAUACGGCCCAGACUACUAUGGGACGCAGGAGUGGGGAAUAUUGUACAAGGGGAGGAAGGAUGAUGCAGUAAAGCAACGCGGGGGAUGUGGGCAAUGGGGUUGGAAACCGAUGUCGUUUGUCCCGAAGUGUGAGUGACGGUACUGGGUAAAGAAGCACCGGCUAACUACGUG
rnacentral:rRNA from 1 species